rnacentral:rRNA from 1 species
UACGUACGGGGCAAGCGUUGUCCGGAAUCACUGGGCGUAAAGCGCACGUAGGCGGUUUGUCAAGUUGGGGGUGUAAGCUCUAGGCCUAACCUAGAAAUUGCCUCCAAAACUAGCAUACUUGAGUAUUAGAGGGGAAGCUGGAAUUCACGGUGUAGCGGUGAAAUGCGUAGAUAUCGUGGAGAACACCCGUGGCGAAGGCGGGCUUCUGGCUAAUUACUGACGCUGAGGUGCGAAAGCUAGGGGAGCGAACGGG